UCUUGGGCAGCAGCACGGCCUGGAUAUUAGUCAGGACGCCGCCCUGCGCGAUGGUCACAAGGCCCAGCAGCUUGUUGAGCUCCUGGUCGUUGUGGAUGGCCAGCUGCAGGUGG
rnacentral:miRNA from 1 species